AAACCAGCACCUCAAGUGGUCAGGAUGAUUAUUGGGCCUAAAGCAUCCGUAGCCGGCUCUGUAAGUUUUCGGUUAAAUCUGUAUGCUCAACAUACAGGCCGCCGGGAAUACUGCAGAGCUAGGGAGUGGGAGAGGUAGACGGUACUCGGGAGGAAGUGGUAAAAUGCUUUGAUCUCUCGAUGACCACCUGUGGCGAAGGCGGUCUACCAGAACACGUCCGACGGUGAGGGAUGAAAGCUGGGGGAGCAAACCGGAUUAGAUACCCCAGUAGUCC
rnacentral:rRNA from 1 species